GUGUAAUCAGUUCUGUGUAAUACUAUUUAUUUCUGUAAUCCUAUUAUAAAAUUUCCAUAAAAUUCUGACAUUACUAUAUUAGCGGAUAUUGAAAGCAUAAUUUUAUAGUACGGUUUUGAAUAUAAGUAAGAUGGCGUCGACAAGGGCAGCGGUGAGGCGCCGGCGCAGGCGCAGUGCGGCGCGGUCGACGCGUGCUCGCCGUCCGUACCUCGCGCACUCUACCACCACCGUCGUGUUGCACGACUCCUGUCCAACAAAGAAAAACGGCGGCAUCAGUGAGUUAAUCACAAUUAACUUCAACCAUGAUAUAAUGAAUAUUAAUAAGGAAUAAUGCAAGUAAACGCUAUCGAUUGUAAAAUAGUCGUUAAAAUAGGUAUAGAACUGUCGGGAAUAUCGGGUAACAUAUUCACAAAAAGUACAGAUGAAUUUAUAUCGUCGUCUUCUUGGGAAUCAUUAAAAAUUACACCAAUAAUGUACAACAGAAAUCAUGAUAUUAAGUGAUUGAUUAAUUCACAUAAAUUAAACAACGAGAAAAGGUAAUAAGUCUAAUUUCCCCAGCGUGAGUCAGUUGGCUGAAGACAAAGAAAGCGAAUCCAUCUCCGGGAUUGCAGUCGGUGAAUGUUUGUACUAUUUUGUGGAGUAAUCGCUCCGUGUCAGUGUAUUGGGGUCAAAUGCAAUUGACUGUAUAUAUCGCUGUACUUUAAUAUUUCACUAUAACAAGAUAACAAGAAUAUUUUGUUUAUCCUAAAGCAGUGAUUGCAAAACACACCUAUAUGAAUGAUGAAAUCUUAGAGAUGUGAUAGAUUGAUAAUGGAUUUGAAUUUAAAAAGCGAAAUCAUGUCUUAACAGCGUCUCUUCAGUUCAGUCAUCUUAGAUUAUAUAGGCAGAGCU